rnacentral:rRNA from 1 species
GAUGACGCAGACAGAAUGCUUAACACAUGCAAGUCAACUUGAAUAGGGUUUUUCACUUAGUUGGGUGGCGGACGGGUGAGUAACGCGUAAAGAACUUGCCUCACAGCUAGGGACAACAUUUGGAAACGAAUGCUAAUACCUAAUAUUAUGAUAAUAGGGCAUCCUAUAAUUAUGAAAGCUAUAAGCGCUGUGAGAGAGCUUUGCGUCCCAUCAGCUAGUUGGAGAGGUAACUGCUCACCAAGGCGAUGAUGGGUAGCCGGCCUGAGAGGGUGAUCGGCCACAAGGGGACUGAGACACGGCCCUUACUCCUACGGGAGGCAGCAGUGGGGAAUAUUGGACAAUGGACCAAGAGUCUGAUCCAGCAAUUCUGUGUGCACGAUGAAGUUUUUCGGAAUGUAAAGUGCUUUCAGUUGGGAAGAAAGAAAUGACGGUACCAACAGAAGAAGUGACGGCUAAAUACGUGCCAGCAGCCGCGGUAAUACGUAUGUCACGAGCGUUAUCCGGAUUUAUUGGGCGUAAAGCGCGUCUAGGUGGUUAUAUAAGUCUGAUGUGAAAAUGCAGGGCUCAACUCUGUAUUGCGUUGGAAACUGUAUAACUAGAGUACUGGAGAGGUAAGCGGAACUACAAGUGUAGAGGUGAAAUUCGUAGAUAUUUGUAGGAAUGCCGAUGGGGAAGCCAGCUUACUGGACAGAUACUGACGCUGAAGCGCGAAAGCGUGGGUAGCAAACAGG